UAUUGUCAAAUCAUAUAUAAGGCUCUGAUUUUAAGAAUAAAAUUUAGUUUGAAUUUACAACUCAACUCGCAAAUGUCUAGACUUUUCUUUUAAGGUCUUAACAUUUUGGUCCUUCGAGACUCUCCGCUGUGGUAAGAGCACGGAGUUAAACGAGCUCCUUUAAAUUAAUGAAAAAUAACGAAAGAUGUAUAUCUAUUGUAAUUGAAAAAUACACAUUUUUCGCGACGGUGGCGUUUUCGAGGCCGGAACAUCGAAAGAAAAAAAUAAUAAUCCGAAACAUCGAAAGUUCUUCAUGGCUAGAAA
rnacentral:sRNA from 1 species